rnacentral:rRNA from 1 species
AUACGGAGGGUCCAAGCGUUAUCCGGAUUCAUUGGGUUUAAAGGGUCCGCGGGCGGGAAAAUAAGUCAGUGGUGAAAGCCUACAGCUCAACUGUAGAACUGCCAUUGAUACUGUUUUUCUUGAGUAUAGAUGAAGUGGGCGGAAUAUAUCAUGUAGCGGUGAAAUGCAUAGAUAUGAUAUAGAACACCGAUUGCGAAGGCAGCUCACUAAACUAUUACUGACGCUCAGGGACGAAAGCGUGGGGAGCGAACAGGAUUAGAAACCCUAGUAGUCC